UCCCCUUGUCCUGCAGUUAUCAACCCUUUCAAAGAGUUGAUUCCCCUCCUGUUUGUAGGCUCCCUUUAGGUACUGAAAGGCUGCAAUGAGGUCACCCUGCAGCCUUCUUUUCUCCAGGCUGAACAAGCCCAGCUCCCUCAGCCUGUCUUCAUAGGGGAGGUGCUCCAGCCAUCUGAUCAUUUUUGUGGCUCUCCUCUGGACCCAUUCCAACAGCUCCCUGUUGGAUUUUCCCAAAUUAUUUCAGUAUUUUGUCAUUUGUUGGCUCUCUUCCCACUUCAUCACAAGCCCAACUUUUGUUUUUGGUUUUGCCAUUUCUCUGUAAAUGCCUUUUCCUGGAAAACACAAUGACAGUAAGUAGCUCGAGCUGCUGGCCAAGCUUCCAUUCCUGUGGUUUUGCUUGCUCUAUUCUGUCAAGUUAUUUACAUACAGCAUCCUAAGGAUGUAACUUAGUGGAAUGCUAGUAAGCACUAUCAUUUGUGUCUGGCUUCAGUCCACAUAGGUCAGGCUUACCCAGGCUGCUUCCUACUGUGAAUUCACUGCCUACUCAUACAGCCCGUGGUUGCACUAUUUCAUGGAACAACAGCGUGAUCUGCUCAUGCAGAAACUACAAAAAGGACAGGCUGGGGUCAGUCGCUUUACCUGCUGUGUUGCACAACCCAGAUCUGUUCUGAACCUUGCUCUUGCAUACACGAGCCCUGGGGCGCUCAAGUGAAAGGGGUAAUCACAUCUUAACAGCUCUGGUGUGUUUCAGUAUAGGAGAGAGAUCUCAAAACUAGCAUAGAUGUUUGAGAUUGACUAUAUUAUCUCUCUGAAAACAGAGCUGCCGUCUCAUUCCCUGGUUCUGAAUUCUUCUAUCACAGCCUUUGGGGGCACGCAUUCCACAGGUUUUGAAUUCCAAGACUGCAGCUGUGUUAUACGGACUGGAUGGCGCGGCUCAUUUAAGGAGCUCCGUGUUAUCUUUUGCCCUUUGCUCUCCUGCGCCUGUCUGCAGCAGCAGGGUGAUUAGCAGGCUGUUAAUGUCCAGCCCUGUGCCUGCUUUUCUUUAGCCAAAGUUGGAAACAUAAGAAGUUUGUGUGACUUCUCUAAAAACCUGGAGUGGGUCAGUGAGGUGGUUGAGAGCAUUUGCAACAAGGCAGUAAAAGCUGGUGAUGGGGCACACAGCAAAAGUCAGUCCUUGGGUUGCUGCAGCCUUCAUCUCAUUAAAUCAUGCACCUGAAGAUGGGGUUUGGUUUGUAGGGGAGGAGCAGCAGCACGUCCCUUAUGCGUGUGGUGGUUAAUGGUGAUUUUUCUUCUUUAGGUCUCUGGUACAUGACUGCUGAGUGUUCUGCUGUGUGCUGCCUUCUGAGCAGGUUUGAGGAACCACAAAGUCUGUGAACAGCAUUGGUGAUGCUAGGUGUAGUCAAGCAAAUGAUGAGAGAGCUAGAAUAAGAUGUGGAACAGGAUUCCAACUGUUACAGAGGGUACACGUUUGUCGUAUGAUGCAAUUUCUUACAGUUAAGGAUUUACAUGUUACUCCUGCACACCUAGCCAAAUACACCCUUUGUAUUUAAUGGCAAGGUAGAUUUGCACAGAGAGAAUUAGGUACUCAGCCAUUUCAGAGAUAGGAUAGGUGUUUUCCAUGUCAGUGCUUUUGCAGUGCUCCUUGAUAAGAGUACACAGUGGAAUUCCUUACCAUGCAGAUGUGCUCUACUGUCUCCACUCUGGCAAUAGUGAAUCAUGUCCUCUGUGAGCCUUUGCUUUCAUUGUAGCCCUUUCUGCUGAAAUAAUCCCCAGAGGGAUUAUUGCUGUUGUUAAGCUUUCAGGAAAAAUCAGAGGCAGAUGUGGUCCUGGUGUGAAUUGGCAGGAGGGCGCUGCACAGCCAGGUGGGUGCUGCGUCUCACCUGGGAUGUAGGACUCUGUGUUGUUAAUGAGCUUGUCCCACUGAAGUCCAUUAAGCCUCCUGCAGAUCUCUGCCAGCUAAAAGCUCCUCUCAAAUCCUGGAUAGUGGGUGACCACUGGCCUAAUCCUACCCACUACAUGUAUUUAUAAUAUAUUGCCUCUAUUGACACAGUUUUUCACUUUAUAUAAAUCAAUAAGCCAAGAGAGUCAAGGAAAAAUAGAGAAGUGUGAUGUGUUGCUGACAGAACCCUGGAAUGGAGUGGCAGUUCCCUGUUGAGAAAGCUCAGAGGUGUCCUAGACAAUAGAGUUUGUGUGAAUAUUUCUGCUUUGUUGAAAGUUUUUAAUCCGUCUGUCUUUUCGACUCUCAACCCUGAGAAGGUUCUUUGGCUGUGGAUUAACCUUGUCAGGAGAACCAAGGCACGUGACAUGCUUGGAGACAGGAGCAGGUACGUGUUGGGGCUCUCACAAGUUGCUGUCAGCACCUCAGCUUUGCAGAUCUCCAAAAUGGAUGAUGAUGCUGCCCUUUAUUCUGAGUGGUUGCUGCCGCAUUUAUGUGAGUUUGAUGGUAUGUCAAAUAUCCCAACCUCCCACUACAGUUCUUCAUUAUCUGAAGGUAAAUUUAGGCACAAGUCAGAACAGCCAAGAUCCUUGGCUUCGAAUAUGUUUGCCUUCCUGUAACACUCAGUCAUACACUCUGGAGUGGGUAGUUCUGCCUCUUCGGUGCAGCCAAUUUGCCAGCCUUAUUCCUCCCAAAGCCACCAUGCGGCUGAAUCUUCUCAGUGCUUAGGCAGUUGUUUAAAUGCACAUCCUCCAGGCAGUGCUACCAUUGUGGGGCACAGUGGGACGGCUGCCCAGGGCUGCCUGGAACCUGGAACUUGUUCCUCAGCAGACAGGCAGUGGUACGGUAGCAAAUACAAAGUGUUCCUUUGCUCACAUUCACCACCCAUGAAAGGCUUUCGGAGUUGUCACUAUUUCAUUCUAGAUAACACUCCAGUUGUCUCUGUUCUUUUCUGUAGGAGCUCCCUGUUGGCUGUACACAGCACUUCACAGUCAGUAUUCACUCUGUGCAUGAGAGCCCUCACACAAUUCCAUAUCUGUGUGGCCAUUUGGAGCUGGUCACACUGCUGGCUGCACUCCUCCAGCUGUCGCAUCUCAUCAUCCUAGCAAAGAAAAGGACGGUUGGAUGUGCUGUGAUCAAAUGUUUUUUCUCAGCCCUAACCUGGAAAUCUUGCAUUAGGGUUUUGAAAUCUUUUGCCAGGUAGGAAGGCUCUGAGCUUGCAACACAACUGUGGCACUACUCUUUUUCAAGUGGUUCUUCAGAGAGGUGGUGAGGGGAAAAAAGUUCGACCCUUUCUUACUUUUUAGUUGGUAUUUCAGUUAAAAACCUGUAGAAAAGCCUUCCAUUUCAUCCAGUCAUUUUUAUGGAAAGGCCAGUAAGUGACAUUUCGUAGGGAUUUGUUUCAUGCUUUAUGUUACAGCUGCAUGUAUUCAUGCAGUUACUCAAAUAUUCAUAUGGAAUCAUCUAAUCCUUACAGUUGGAAGGGACCUUGAAAGGCCAUCUAGUCUAACUCCCCUGCAAUGAACAGGGACACCACAGCUCCAUCAGGUUGCCCAGGGCCUGAUCCAGCCUCACCUUGAAAGUCUCCGGAGACAGAGCAUCAACCACAUCACAAGGCAGCCUGUUCCAUUGUGUCACCACCCUCACUGUAAAAGACUUUUUCCUUAUAUCUAACCCUAAAACUUCCCUCUUCAAGCUUGAAACCAUUUCCCUUUGUUUUGUUACAACAGACCUUGGUUAAAAAAAAGUCUCUUUUUUCUUCCCUUCUUUCCAUUUCUUCACUUACCUAUUGUUGAAAUUGGGCCAUAAGACACGAAAGUUGUUGAGCUCAAGCUUCAGAGGACCUGGGUCCUGCAGUGGUACCCUCAGGGGUUCAAUCACUUAUGCCUCAGGACCACGCUUUGUGCUGGAUGGCUUCUCUUAAGUAGCUCCUUCCAGCUCCUAAGCUGAUGACACCCGGGGUUGAAUAGUGAACCUCUGUGGUCAUGUGCCUUACGUACCUCACAGACAGAAGUGCCAUGCUGAAGGUAUCAAGUGAAGGCACAAUGCAAGUGUUGCUGAAAACAAAGCAAUCACCACUGAUGUGCAGUAGUGCAAAGACUUUGCAGCCAAUGCAGCCCUUCUUUACAGUGUUCUUAACAACAUUAUCCCUUAGAAACCUAUUUAAUAACAUUUUUUAAAGAGGAGAUUCAAACAUUUCAGUUCUUUACUACGGUAUUUCUGUAUUUUAAUGCACUCAGAUGCAGGUUGCUACCAAUGCCAUUUUAUUAAAACUUACCUUGGAAAGCA